GCCUGUUGUUAUUGAAGAGUCGAGCAAAUGUAUACCAAAAAGCAAUUGUUUUAUAAAAAAGGGGUGGGGAAGAAAGACAAAAUACGCAUGUGGUUAAAUCAUGUGUAACUAAUUGUUGCGUAAAUUGUAAUUGGUUAUACGCCAAGUAUAGUAUGCAUUUAGCAAAAAAAAUUAAAGUAUCGUCAACCUGGUACCCUGGUUUCAUACGUAGACUGGGAUGUUCGUUAGCAAAAAUGCACUUUAUC
rnacentral:lncRNA from 1 species